rnacentral:tRNA from 1 species
GCCUGGGUGGCUCAGUCGGUUAAGCGUCCGACUUCAGCUCGGGUCACGAUCUCGCGGUCCGUGGGUUCGAGACCCAUGUCAGGCU